rnacentral:rRNA from 1 species
AAUUCGAUUAGUUUGAUCCUGGCUCAGGACGAACGCUGGCGGCGCGCUUAACACAUGCAAGUCGAGCGAGAACCAGUCCUUCGGGACUGGGGACAGCGGCGAACGGGUGAGUAACACGUGGGUAAUCUGCCCUCGGUUCUGGGAUAGCCCGGGGAAACCCGGAUUAAUACCGGAUAGCCUCUCGAGCUCUCGGGCUCGAAAGGAAAGGUAGCUUCGGCCUCCGACCGAGGAGGAGCCUGCGACGGAUUAGCUUGUUGGCGGGGUAAUGGCCCACCAAGGCGACGAUCCGUAGCUGGUCUGAGAGGACGAUCAGCCACACUGGGACUGAGACACGGCCCAGACUCCUACGGGAGGCAGCAGUGGGGAAUCUUGCGCAAUGGGCGAAAGCCUGACGCAGCGACGCCGCGUGGGGGAAGAAGGCCUUCGGGUUGUAAACCUCUUUCAGCAGGGACGAAGCCACUCGGGUUAAUAGCCCAGAGGGUGACGGUACCUGCAGAAGAAGCCCCGGCUAACUACGUGCCAGCAGCCGCGGUAAUACGUAGGGGGCAGCGUUGUCCGGAUUUAUUGGGCGUAAAGAGCGUGUAGGCGGCCAGGUAGGUCGGUUGUGAAAACUCGAGGCUUAACCUCGAGACGUCGACCGAAACCCCCUGGCUAGAGUCCGGAAGAGGAGAGCGGAAUUCCUGGUGUAGCGGUGAAAUGCGCAGAUAUCAGGAAGAACACCCGUGGCGAAGGCGGCUCUCUGGGACGGUACUGACGCUGAGACGCGAAAGCGUGGGGAGCGAACAGGAUUA